CCGCUGAACUUAAGCAUAUCAAUAAGCGGAGGAAAAGAAACCAAACAGGGAUUGCCCUAGUAACGGCGAGUGAAGCGGCAACAGCUCAAAUUUGAAAUCUGGCUCUUUCAGAGUCCGAGUUGUAAUUGCAGAGGGCGCUUUGGCUUUGGCAGCGGUCCAAGUUCCUUGGAACAGGACGUCACAGAGGGUGAGAAUCCCGUACGUGGUCGCUAGCUAUUGCCGUGUAAAGCCCCUUCGACGAGUCGAGUUGUUUGGGAAUGCAGCUCUAAAUGGGAGGUAAAUUUCUUCUAAAGCUAAAUAUUGGCCAGAGACCGAUAGCGCACAAGUAGAGUGAUCGAAAGAUGAAAAGCACUUUGGAAAGAGAGUCAAACAGCACGUGAAAUUGUUGAAAGGGAAGCGCUUGCAGCCAGACUUGCUUGCAGUUGCUCAUCCGGGCUUUUGCCCGGUGCACUCUUCUGUAGGCAGGCCAGCAUCAGUUUGGGCGGUGGGAUAAAGGUCUCUGUCACGUACCUUCCUUCGGGUUGGCCUUAUAGGGGAGACGCCAUACCACCAGCCUGGACUGAGGUCCGCGCAUCUGCUAGGAUGCUGGCGUAAUGGCUGUAAGCGGCCCGUCUUGAAACACGGACCAAGGAGUCUAACAUCUAUGCGAGUGUUUGGGUGUCAAGCCCGAACGCGUAAUGAAAGUGAACGGAGGUGGGAACCCGCAAGGGUGCACCAUCGACCGAUCCUGAAGUUUACGGAAGGAUUUGAGUAAGAGCAUGGCUGUUGGGACCCGAAAGAUGGUGAACUAUGCUUGAAUAGGGUGAAGCCAGAGGAAACUCUGGUGGAGGCUCGCAGCGGUUCUGACGUGCAAAUCGAUCGUCAAAUUUGGGCAUAGGGGCGAAAGACUAAUCGAACUUAUCCAUUGGGCCUA
rnacentral:rRNA from 1 species